ensembl:lncRNA
GGGGUUAGAGACACCAGUAUCAUUAUAGACAGACAGGGGGUUACAGACACCAGUAUCAUUAUAGACAGACAGGGGGUUAGAGACACCAGUAUCAUUAUAGACAGACAGGGGUUAGAGACACCAGUAUCAUUAUAGACAGACAGGGGGUUCGAGACACCAGUAUCAUUAUAGACAGGCAGGGGUUAGAGACACCAGUAUCAUUAUAGACAGACAGGGGUUAGAGACACCAGUAUCAUUAUAGACAGACAGGGGUUUAGAGACACCAGUAUCAUUUUAGACAGACAGGGGUUAGAGACACCAGUAUCAUUAUAGACAGACAGGGGGUUAGAGACACCAGUAUCAUUAUAGACAGACAGGGGUUAGAGACACCAGUAUCAUUAUAGACAGAGAGGGGGUUAGAGACACCCGUAUCAUUAUAGACAGACAGGGGGUUAGAGACACCAGUAUCAUUAUGGACAGACAUGGGUUUAGAGACACCAGUAUCAUUAUAGACAGACAGGGGUUAGAGACACCAGUAUCAUAUUGGACAGACAGGGGGUUAGAGACACCAGUAUCAUUAUAGACAGACAAGGGGUUAGAGACACCAGUAUCAUUAUAGACAGACAGGGGGUUAGAGACACCAGUAUCAUUAUAGACAGACAGGGGUUAGAGACACCAGUAUCAUUAUAGACAGACAGGGGUUAGAGACACCAGUAUCAUU